GCCCGGAUGGCUCAGUCGGUUAAGCUUCCGACUUCGUCUCAGGUCAUGAUCCCAUGGUUCGUGGGUUCAAACCCCGCCCCGGGUU
rnacentral:tRNA from 1 species